rnacentral:rRNA from 1 species
GGGUUGUGAGGUUAAGCGAAUAAGCGUACACGGUGGAUGCCUAGGCAGUCAGAGGCGAUGAAGGACGUGCUAAUCUGCGAUAAGCGCCGGUAAGGUGAUAUGAACCGUUAUAACCGGCGAUUUCCGAAUGGGGAAACCCAGUGUGAUUCGUCACACUAUCAUUACCUGAAUACAUAGGGUAAUGAAGCGAACCGGGAGAACUGAAACAUCUAAGUACCCCGAGGAAAAGAAAUCAAACGAGAUUCCCCCAGUAGCGGCGAGCGAACGGGGAGCAGCCCAGGACCUUAAUCAGCAUCAGUGUUAAGAGAACAGUCUGGAAAGGCUGGCCACAGCAGGUGAUAGCCCUGUAUCUGAAAGCACUGGUGUUGUGAGUCCGAUGAGUAAGGCGGGACACGUGUUAUCCUGUCUGAAUACGGGGGGACCAUCCUCCAAGGCUAAAUACUCCUGACUGACCGAUAGUGAACCAGUACCGUGAGGGAAAGGCGAAAAGAACCCCGGCGAGGGGAGUGAAAAAGAACCUGAAACCGUGUACGUACAAGCAGUGGGAGCACCUUUAUGGUGUGACUGCGUACCUUUUGUAUAAUGGGUCAGCGACUUAUAUUCUGUAGCAAGGUUAACCGAAUAGGGGAGCCGCAGGGAAACCGAGUCUUAACUGGGCGAAUUAGUUGCAGGGUAUAGACCCGAAACCCGGUGAUCUAGCCAUGGGCAGGUUGAAGGUUGGGUAACACUAACUGGAGGACCGAACCGACUAAUGUUGAAAAAUUAGCGGAUGACUUGUGGCUGGGGGUGAAAGGCCAAUCAAACCGGGAGAUAGCUGGUUCUCCCCGAAAGCUAUUUAGGUAGCGCCUCGUGAAUUCAUCUCCGGGGGUAGAGCACUGUUUCGGCUAGGGGGUCAUCCCGACUUACCAACCCGAUGCAAACUGCGAAUACCGGAGAAUGUUAUCACGGGAGACACACGGCGGGUGCUAACGUUCGUCGUGAAGAGGGAAACAACCCAGACCGCCGGCUAAGGUCCCAAAGUCAUAAUUAAGUGGGAAACGAAGUGGGAAGGCUCAGACAGCCAGGAUGUUGGCUUAGAAGCAGCCAUCAUUUAAAGAAAGCGUAAUAGCUCACUGGUCGAGUCGGCCUGCGCGGAAGAUGUAACGGGGCUAAAUUAUGCACCGAAGCCGCGGCAGCGAUAUGUAAAUAUUGUUGGGUAGGGGAGCGUUCUGUAAGCCUGUGAAGGUGUCCUGUGAGGGAUGCUGGAGGUAUCAGAAGUGCGAAUGCUGACAUAAGUAACGAUAAUGCGGGUGAAAAACCCGCACGCCGGAAGACCAAGGGUUCCUGUCCAACGUUAAUCGGGGCAGGGUGAGUCGACCCCUAAGGCGAGGCUGAAAAGCGUAGUCGAUGGGCAACGGGUUAAUAUUCCCGUACUGGUGGUAACUGCGAAGGGGGGACGGAGAAAGCUAAAUCAUCCGGGCGACGGUUGUCCCGGUUUAAGCGUGCAGGUGGACUGACCAGGCAAAUCCGGUCGGUUGUUAACACUGAGGCGUGACGACGAGCCACUACGGUGGUGAAGUGAUUGAUGCUCUGCUUCCGGGAAAAGCCUCUAAGCUCCAGGUUACCAUUAAUCGUACCCCAAACCGACACAGGUGGUCAGGUAGAGAAUACUCAGGCGCUUGAGAGAACUCGGGUGAAGGAACUAGGCAAAAUGGUGCCGUAACUUCGGGAGAAGGCACGCUGGCAUUAGGUGAAGUGGUUUACCCA